rnacentral:tRNA from 1 species
GUCCCCUUAGCUCAGCCGGUAGAGCACGCGACUGUUAAUCGUGGGGUCGGAGGUUCGAGUCCUCCAGGGGACG